rnacentral:piRNA from 4 species
CUGGACUCUGAAUCCAGCGAUCCG